rnacentral:rRNA from 1 species
UACGUAGGGGGCGAGCGUUGUCCGGAUUUAUUGGGCGUAAAGAGCGUGUAGGCGGCUAUUUAAGUCCUGCGUGAAAUCCUGCGGCUCAACCGCAGACGGUCGUGGGAAACUGGAUGGCUAGAGUGCGGGAGAGGAGAGUGGAAUUCCCGGUGUAGCGGUGAAAUGCGCAGAUAUCAGGAAGAACACCCGUGGCGAAGGCGGCUCUCUGGGACGGUACUGACGCUGAGACGCGAAAGCGUGGGGAGCGAACAGG